rnacentral:rRNA from 1 species
GCUGACAAUCUAGCCCAUAACAAACAUUAAUAAAUCUAAACACAUUAAAAUUACUAAUUAAAACAUUCUUGCAAUUUAGUAAAGGCGAUUAAAAAAUUUUUAGGAGCAAUAAAUAAAGUACCGCAAGGGAAAGAUGAAAUAACAAUGAAAUUCCAGUAAGCACAAAAAAGUAGAGCUUAACCCUCGUACCUUUUGCAUCAUGGUUUAACAAGUCAAACCAAGCAAAACGAUUUUAAGUUUGGCCUCCCGAAACUAAGCGAGCUACUUUAAGGCAGCUAAUAGAGCAAACCCGUCUCUGUUGCAAAAGAGUGGGAAGACCUUAUAGUAGGGGUGACAGACCUAACGAGCUUAGUGAUAGCUGGUUACUUAAGAAAAGAAUUUUAGUUCAGCUCAAAGUUAAAAUAAUUCAACAAAAUAAAAACCUAACUUUGAAGUAAUUCAAAUAAGGUACAGCCUAUUUGACUCAGGACACAACCUCAAUAAAUGGGUAACUAACGCUGUUUACUUAAUUAAGUAGGCCUAAAAGCAGCCAUCUUUAAAAAAGCGUCAUAGCUUAAUUUUAUAAAAGCAAAAUUUCAUAAAUUACUACAAACCCUUAUUCCGUAUUAAGUACUCCUAUAUACACUAUAGGAUCUAUCAUGUUAAAAUUAGUAACAAGAAGAAGACCUUCUCUUAAAUGUAAGUGUAUAUCAGAAAGGACACACCACUGAUAAUUAAUCAAUAAACAGUAGCAACACAACAAGAAAACCCUACUAAAUCCACUGUUAAUCUAACACAAGAACAUUCUAAGAAAGAUUGCAAGAAAAAGAAGGAACUCGGCAAAAUUUAACCCCGCCUGUUUACCAAAAACAUCGCCUCUUGACCAAACAUAAGAGGUCUAGCCUGCCCAGUGACCCUGUUCAACGGCCGCGGUAUCCUAACCGUGCGAAGGUAGCGUAAUCAUUUGUUCUUUAAAUGAGGACUAGUAUGAAUGGCCCCACGAGGGUUAUACUGUCUCCUUUUUCUAAUCAGUAAAAUUAAUCUCCCCGUGAAGAAGCGGGAAUAACUAUAUAAGACGAGAAGACCCUAUGGAGCUUUAAACAAACUACAUUUGCCUAAUUUACACUAACAAUUUCAGAAAAAAAAAUAAAUUUUAACAUUAUACUAGCAAGUUUUAGGUUGGGGUGACCGCGGAGUAAAACAUAACCUCCACAUUGAAUAAGAAAAUUCUUUAGCUAAAAGCUACGACUUAAAGCACCAACAAAUUGACAUUUUUGACCCAAUUAGUUGAUCAACGAACCAAGUUACCCUAGGGAUAACAGCGCAAUCCACUUCAAGAGCUCCUAUCGACAAGUGGGUUUACGACCUCGAUGUUGGAUCAGGGUAUCCUAGUGGUGCAGCCGCUACUAAAGGUUCGUUUGUUCAACGAUUAAAACCCU